UGGGGAAUAUUGCGCAAUGGGGGAAACCCUGACGCAGCGACGCCGUGUGAGGGAAGAAGGCUUUCGGGUCGUAAACCUCUGUCAGGAGGGAAGAAACCCUUGAGGUCGAACAGGCCUCUUGGCUGACGGUACCUCCAGAGGAAGCACCGGCUAACUCCGUGCCAGCAGCCGCGGUAAUACGGAGGGUGCAAGCGUUAAUCGGAAUCACUGGGCGUAAAGCGCGCGUAGGCGGCUUGGCAAGUCGGGCGUGAAAGCCCUCGGCUCAACCGAGGAAUUGCGCUCGAAACUGCUUUGCUUGAGUCCGGGAGAGGGUGGCGGAAUUCCGGGUGUAGGAGUGAAAUCCGUAGAUAUCCGGAGGAACACCAGUGGCGAAGGCGGCCACCUGGACCGGUACUGACGCUGAGGUGCGAAAGCGUGGGGAGCAAACA
rnacentral:rRNA from 1 species